UCCCUGGUAGUCCAGUGGUUAGGACUUUGACUUCCAAGGCACAGGAUGCAGGUUUGAUUCCUGUUCAGAGAG
rnacentral:tRNA from 1 species